GAGAGCCAAAUGAAUCGAAAGGUUCAUGUUUGGUUCGGGAAGGGAUCAUGGAAUUUUUGAAAUAAAAAAAAAUGAAUAGAAAGAUAAUAUACUUUCAU
rfam:Gossypium arboreum cultivar AKA8401 contig_117773_1, whole genome shotgun sequence.